rnacentral:rRNA from 1 species
UACGGAGGGUGCAAGCGUUAUCCGGAUUUACUGGGCUUAAAGGGUGCGUAGGUGGUUAAUUAAGUCAGUGGUGAAAUCUUCAGGCUUAACCUGGAAACUGCCAUUGAUACUAUUUAUCUUGAAUACUUUGGAGGUAAGCGGAAUAUGUCAUGUAGCGGUGAAAUGCUUAGAUAUGACAUAGAACACCAAUUGCGAAGGCAGCUUACUACACAGUAAUUGACACUGAGGCACGAAAGCGUGGGGAUCAAACAGG